GAGUAGUAGUGUGUUCUUCAAGGCAGGAGUAGUAGUGUGUUCUUCAAGGCAGGAGUAGUAGUGUGUUCUUCAAGGCAGGAGUAGUAUUGUGUUCUUCAAGGCAGGAGUAGUAGUGUGUUCUUCAAGGCAGGAGUAGUAGUGUGUUCUUCAAGGCAGGAGUAGUAGUGUGUUCUUCAAGGCAGGAGUAGUAGUGUGUUCUUCAAGGCAGGAGUAGUAUUGUGUUCUUCAAGGCAGGAGUAGUAGUGUGUUCUUCAAGGCAGGAGUAGUAGUGUGUUCUUCAAGGCAGGAGUAGUAGUGUGUUCUUCAAGGCAGAAGUAGUAUUGUGUUCUUCAAGGCAGAAGUAGUAUUGUGUUCUUCAAGGCAGGAGUAGUAGUGUGUUCUUCAAGGCAGGAGUAGUAGUGUGUUCUCAUAUGGGUCAGAUUUAACACAAGUGUCUCACCAAGAAUUGCACUGGCAAGGUUUUUAUAACUGUUGAGAAAGAGCAAGAGCUUUUAGAGUGGUCUCAGGGUUAAGCUUCAAACCCCAUUGACUGGAGAAGAAUCCUCCCCGUUGGCAGGAAACCAGAAGCAUAGAGAGAGUGACAGUUAGUUAUUUGCUUUCCUCUUUUAUUGAACCACAUAGAGUAACACACUUUCGGGCCUGUACCUAAGCUUACUAAACUAAUGACAGAACAGUAGCUCUAUUUAAAACAUGUGAAUGUAAGACAGUUUCUGUAUCCCCAUCCCUAUAAUAAUGUCAAUAACAUACCAGCAACAAUGUCCUGGUCUGGGUGAAUACUGUUUGAUAGGAUGAUAUACACUUUGACUUGUGAUUUGUAUCUUGAUCAUGACAAUGUCAUCUGAUCGUGACGAUGUCUUAACUUAACCCAUCAAUAUAAUGUGUUGUACACUGUAUGGUACUCACUGUAUUUUCAACGACACUACCAUUGGGUGUUGUACAGUGUGUGGUACUCACUGUAUUUUCAACGACACUACCAUUGGGUGUUGUACAGUGUGUGGUACUCACUGUAUUUUCAACGACACUACCAUUGGGUGUUGUACACUGUGUGGUACUCACUGUAUUUUCAACGACACUACCAUUGGGUGUUGUACAGUGUGUGGUACUCACUGUAUUUUCAA
ensembl:lncRNA